CAAAAAACAUUGAAAUUUAGGACUAACAUUGUGUAAUUUAUUUCUUUUCAGGUACCCCCGCCAGAAGGACGGAAGCAUCGAGUCGCUGAGGAGCCUAAGGAGUCAUCACAGGUGAGUUUUUGUUGUGUGUUGGCUGUGGACUGUUGCGGCCGCUGGAAGUGGGCCACUUGCAACAAGUUUGUCCGGCCGGAGUUGCAGGUGAAUUGUUCUCGGUAGCAGCAUGCCGCGCCGCCGUCAUUUGGUGAAGAUCCGUUAUAUCGUCAGUGGCAGAUUUAUGCAAUUGUUUAAUGAGUUCGUUUGUAUUGCAGAUGCAAAUUGCCGGUCGUCAGCUGUCAUUGCAUUUUUAUUGAGCUGCUGGCAUUAUGGUGGUGGCGUUCGUCUCGUGGCAGAGAAGUCGUCAGUGAGGAUUGUAGCUCGGUCUAUCACCGAGGAAAGCCAGGUGCGCCGCGUCUUGUGGCCAUAGCGUCAGGAUUGGCAGCUUGGGGCCGCCGGUUCGAGAUUUGUUGCAGAGGGCCGCCGCAACGUGAUAGGCAUGGAAAUGAAUGUAAGAAUUGUAUUUGGUACAUUGAGUGGAAUUUAAUUUAAGGUACGUUUUGUGAGGGCUAACUUGGAGGCCCUUUUUAUUGUGUUAUUGCAGCUGGAAUGCCGCGAUUUUGGAGUCAUCAAGUUGGCAAUUAGAUAAGUAUUAUAUUAUAAAUAUAUAUUUCCCAGUAAUAGCUUGUGUUCC